rnacentral:rRNA from 1 species
UACGUAGGGUGCGAGCGUUAAUCGGAAUUCCUGGGCGUAAAGCGUGCGCAGGCGGUUUUGUAAGCCAGGGGUGAAAUCCCCGGGCUCAACCUGGGAAUGGCAUUUGGGACUGCAAGGCUGGAGUGCGGCAGAGGAGACUGGAAUUCCUGGUGUAGCAGUGAAAUGCGUAGAUAUCAGGAGGAACACCGAUGGCGAAGGCAGGUCUCUGGGCUGACACUGACGCUCAUGCACGAAAGCGUGGGGAGCAAACAGG